GGGGCUGUAGCGCAGCUGGUAGCGCACCUCGUUCGCAACGAGGGGGUCAGGGGUUCGAGUCCCCUCAGCUCCACCU
rnacentral:tRNA from 1 species